rnacentral:tRNA from 1 species
GCGUCAAGUGCUUCCGCGCGCGCGAGGAGUACGACGACCGCUGUUUCAUC